rnacentral:rRNA from 1 species
GUCAAUGGGCGCAAGCCUGAACCAGCCAUCCCGCGUGCAGGAAGACGGCCCUAUGGGUUGUAAACUGCUUUUCCAGGGGGAGAAUUUUUCUGUCGUGACAGGAAUUGACGGUACCCUGGGAAUAAGCAUCGGCUAACUCCGUGCCAGCAGCCGCGGUAAUACGGAGGAUGCGAGCGUUAUCCGGAUUUAUUGGGUUUAAAGGGUGCGUAGGCGGAUUGAUAAGUCAGUGGUGAAAACCUGCAGCUUAACUGUAGCCCAGCCGUUGAUACUGUCAGUCUUGAGUGUGGUCAAGGUAGGCGGAAUGUGUAAUGUAGCGGUGAAAUGCUUAGAUAUUACACAGAACACCGAUUGCGAAGGCAGCUUACUGGGCCAUUACUGACGCUGAUGCACGAAAGCGUGGGGAUUGAACAG